rnacentral:rRNA from 1 species
CACGGAGUUAACCGGUGCUUAUUUUACUGGUACCGUCAAUGCAGGAUAAAUCCCACUUUUUCGCCCCAGUCUAAAGCAGUUUACAACCCGUAGGGCCGUCAUCCUGCACGCGGGAUAGCUGGAUCAGCGUCUCCGCCAUUGUCCAAUAUUCCUUACUGCUGCCUCCCGUAGGAGUCGGGUCCGUGUCUCAGUACCCGUGUGGGGGAUCAUGCUCUCACACCCCCUACUGAUCAUCGUCUUGGUGAGCCGUUACCUCACCAACUAACUAAUCAGCCGCACAUCCAUCCUUUACCUCCCGAAGAAUUUAUUACAUCAAACAUGCGUCCAAUGUACUCUAUGGGGGUUUACUCCUAGUUUCCCAAGGCUAUCCCCACGUAAAGGUAGGUUAUGUACGUGUUACUCACCCGUGCGCCACUCGCCAUCGAUAAUAUUGCUAUCAUCAUGUUGCCGUUCGACUUGCAUGUAUUAGGCCUCCGCUAGCGUUCAUCCUGAGCCAGGAUACAAAACUUCC